rnacentral:ncRNA from 1 species
AUACCACUACUCUUAUUGUUUCCUUACUUACUUGAUCCAUUGGAACGUGUAUCAUUUCCUAGCCAUUAUACGGAUAUAUUUAUUAUAUCUUAUGGUAUUGGGUUUUGAUGCAAGCUUCUUGAUCAAAGUAUCACGAGUUUGUUAUAUAAUCGCAAACAAAUUCUUUAAUGAGAAAAUGCAUUUAUGUAUUUUCAAUUUGAAAAUUUGGUAUAACUCCAAUUACUCAGGUAUGAUCCAAUUCAAGGACAUUGCCAGGUAGGGAGUUUGACUGGGGCGGUACAUCUCUCAAAUAAUAACGGAGGUGUCCCAAGGCCAGCUCAGUGCGGACAGAAACCACACAUAGAGCAAAAGGGCAAAUGCUGACUUGAUCUCGGUGUUCAGUACACACAGGGACAGCAAAAGCUCGGCCUAUCGAUCCUUUUGGUUUAAAGAGUUUUUAACAAGAGGUGUCAGAAAAGUUACCAUAGGGAUAACUGGCUUGUGGCGGCCAAGCGUUCAUAGCGACGUCGCUUUUUGAUCCUUCGAUGUCGGCUCUUCCUAUCAUUGUGAAGCAAAAUUCACCAAGCGUUGGAUUGUUCACCCAUGCAAGGGAACGUGAGCUGGGUUUAGACCGUCGUGAGACAGGUUAGUUUUACCCUACUAAUGACAAAACGUUGUUGCGACAGCAUUCCUGCGUAGUACGAGAGGAACCGCAGGUACGGACCAAUGGCACAAUACUUGUUCGAGCGAACAGUGGUAUGACGCUACGUCCGUUGGAUUAUGCCUGAACGCCUCUAAGGUCGUAUCCGUGCUGGACUGCAAUGAUAAAUAAGGGGCAAUUUGCAUUGUAUGGCUUCUAAACCAUUAAAAGUUUAUAAUUUAUUUUAUAAACGACAAUGGAUGUGAUGCCAAUGUAAUUUGUAACAUAGUAAAUUGGGGAGGAUCAUCGAUCACCUGAUGCCGCGCUAGUUGCAUAUGAAAAACAUUAUUUAAUACAAUGACAAAGCCUAGAAUCAAUUGUAAACGACUUUUGUAACAGGCAAGGUGUUGUAAGUGGUUGAGCAGCUGCCAUACUGCGAUCC